rnacentral:rRNA from 1 species
CAGACUGCCGUGGACGAACACGGAGGAAGGUGGGGAUGACGUCAAAUCAUCAUGCCCCUUAUGAUCUGGGCUACACACGUGCUACAAUGGCCGGUACAACGGGCAGCGAAGGAGCGAUCCGGAGCGAAUCCUAAAAAGCCGGUCCCAGUUCGGAUUGCAGGCUGAAACUCGCCUACAUGAAGUUGGAGUUGCUAGUAAUCGCGAAUCAGAAUGUCGCGGUGAAUGCGUUCCCGGGUCUU